rnacentral:misc_RNA from 1 species
UUUGGAUGCUGUGCAGAUG